GUUCGUUUAAUCCCCGCCCCCGCCGGGAUCGGCGGGGUUUUGGCCUAAUCCACGUGCUUUUGACCCCGGUCGGGGUAGGAUCCCGACCUACCUUAUAUGCGUCUUCGGUUAAACCCGGCCGGGUUGAUAUCCCAUCCAAAUCCACCCCAAACCACAGGGAUUCCACUGGGUUUUCACCCACGUCUCCCCACCCGUGGAACAAAACCAGUCGUCUCAGUCUUCUCGGCUCGAAAGAAAAAGGAGGAGCGGGCGAGAGCGGCGGCGGCGCCGACGCCGACAGGGAAGAACUAGGCGACGGCGAGGGGCCGGAGCGGGCGAUCUCUCUCCUCCACUGAAGACCGGCUGCUGCGCCAUCCUUCUACCUCGCCCCACUCUCCCCAAGUCAGCAGCCGAUCUGCGACCCUCUUCUUCCAUCCCCGGCGCGAGCUCGGCGGCCGCACCAACCUACUCCGGUGGCCCUCCCCAACGUUUCUAUGCCGGCCAGCUUCACCGCCUCACAGCCGCAGCAAGACCCCGCUUGGGGCAGCAUCGUGAAGACUAAGUGCAUCAAUCACUACGGAAGCGACAUCGGCGAGAUUAGAGUCGUCUGUUCUAUACAGCAAUAAUUUGAUCAUGGUCGGAAAUAUAAUAAUAUUGUACAUCGGUGAUUGUUGAUUAGGGUCGUUUUUUGACUUCUAAAUAUUCAGAAUUCAUGUUAUAGUUUGAUAUUUUUUCUUCUAAAAUAUCAACUUGCAGCAAGCUUCUCAUAUAAUGUUUUGUUCUGACGCAACAAAAAUACUGUUAUGCGGAUUUGGUGCUUGGAUGUAUGAAAUUUAUAGCAAGUUUGUUGUGUGUGUGAUGUUCUUUUGAUUUGGUGCAAAGAACAACGAUAGGAGGUUUAGUUGAUUUGGUGCUGAAGUGUACAAAGGCCAUUGAUGGGAGGUUGCCGGGGACUAACCGAACACAUAUUGUUGUACAGGGAUUAGCAGGGUUUGUUGGUUAGGGGAUUGGGUGACGAGGUGGGGAUCACCAAAUCCCUG